rnacentral:rRNA from 1 species
UACGAAGGGGGCUAGCGUUGCUCGGAAUCACUGGGCGUAAAGGGUGCGUAGGCGGGUCUUUAAGUCAGGGGUGAAAUCCUGGAGCUCAACUCCAGAACUGCCUUUGAUACUGAAGAUCUUGAGUUCGGGAGAGGUGAGUGGAACUGCGAGUGUAGAGGUGAAAUUCGUAGAUAUUCGCAAGAACACCAGUGGCGAAGGCGGCUCACUGGCCCGAUACUGACGCUGAGGC